rnacentral:rRNA from 1 species
GAUGAACGCUGGCGGCGUGCCUAAUACAUGCCAGUCGAGCGAACAGACGAGGAGCUUGCUCCUCUGACGUUAGCGGCGGACGGGUGAGUAACACGUGGAUAACCUACCUAUAAGACUGGGAUAACUUCGGGAAACCGGAGCUAAUACCGGAUAAUAUAUUGAACCGCAAGGUUCAAUAGUGAAAGACGGUUUUGCUGUCACUUAUAGAUGGAUCCGCGCCGCAUUAGCUAGUUGGUAAGGUAACGGCUUACCAAGGCAACGAUGCGUAGCCGACCUGAGAGGGUGAUCGGCCACACCGGAACUGAGACACGGUCCAGACUCCUACGGGAGGCAGCAGUAGGGAAUCUUCCGCAAUGGGCGAAAGCUUGACGGAGCAACGCCGCGUGAGUGAUGAAGGUCUUCGGAUCGUAAAACUCUGUUAUUAGGGAAGAACAAAUGUGUAAGUAACUAUGCACGUCCUGACGGUACCUAAUCAGAAAGCCACGGCUAACUACGUG